AAUGUUUAUACAAACACGGCACAUGUAUUUCAGCUAUCGACUGCUUUCUGGAAGGAAAAUAUCAUGACCUAAAGGCAGGAGCCACUGCUGUCAUGCACUUGACAGAGUGGAGAUAAAUUUCUGUACACAAACGGUGCAAGGUGAGAACAGCUGAGGCUCAUAUGGCACCGACAGGACUGUUGGACACGAUAGGGCUGCAUUUUGUCUCCGUACUUUUGUACAGUCCUAGCAGUUAUCCUAUGGUACUGCUGGACAACCACGUACUCGAGCUGGUGGUGUUUCCAUACCCUGGCACACAACUGAGGCCAAGCAACCCGGCAGCCCCAGCCCUGAACCAACUUCUAUUCGCCUGCCGCACGGUUCCUGCCAGAACCGGCCUGCCAUUAUUUCUUAUGUUAUUGCCCAAGCGAUUUCCAGACUAGAAGCGUUUUAAACCCGCCAUUCCUCAGCCCCUUCUUCCACGUUCGUUGUGAGCAGGCACCGCCUUCUUGUGGGCGCGUCUGCCAGCCGCUCCCCUCACGGGGGGCAGGCAGAGGGACGGAGGGACGUCCCAGAGCCGCCCCCCGCCGCCGCCGCCUCUUCCUUUGCCUGGUGCCGCGCACUCGGCAGCCGACCGUUGGUGGGCGCACGGGGCGGUGGUUGAGGCUCACGCUGGCGCAGCCGUUGGGCCUCGCGCCCCCCGUGAGGGGAGCGGGCGCCAGGUGAGGGGCGCCUGAGGGGAAAAUGGCGGCGGGGGGGAAAAUGGCGGCGGGGGGGCAGGGUGCGCUCCAUGUCUCCAUGGGGGCUGCCGCCCGUGGCUGUCCCCCUUCCUAGGCAUGGAAGAGCAGCUCCUUGCUAAUUGGCAAAGCUCCUACCAGCGCGUUGGUAGCAGUCGUUGACUGUAGCGAGGAACACGGCGAGCCCGGCGGAGGGGCGCGGCGCGGUUUCUUUGUUGGCCCAGAGGCCGGAAGUGCAGAGACGCCAUUGAAGUUCCUCUUCCCGCCGAAAAGCCACGUGGCUGGGUACGUGCUUUCAUCAGUUCUUAGAAGGGAGGUUUUGAGCAGAAAUAAUACCCUCAUACCACUUUGCAGUUUAAUCGCUAUACGAAACUAGCAGAGACUUGACUGAUCCGCACUGAAAUCAAGGUAUAGGCUUGAUUUUUAUUUACUUUGAUUUUGAUUUAUUCUGUUUUUUAAGCCAUACUUGACUCGUGUGUGGAUGCUCAUCUUUUACUGGCAGAAAAACAUAACCAAGAGCAAAAGUGUGCAUUUCUAAGAAUUGGGCUUGGGUAUAGAUACAUUAGGAGUACUGGGAAUAGUGGGUUGUGAUUAAAAACUGGUAUUGUCAUAACUUUUGCCUGCUAAAUUAGAGUUAUCGGAACCCACAGGUUUCUAGGAGCUGUCUGUGUAUGGGGCAUAUCUUUUCUGAUCUUCACAUUGCUAAUUUAGUGAAGUGAGUGCUUAGAGUGAUCUGGAAUUGCCGGAGCAGGGAGAGGUGUCUAGUUGAUUUUAAUAGUUUUGUUUCAGAGCAGAUUACAACUCCUCCUAGGAAGGCAUUGUACUGUUCGGUAAUGUUUUCUGUCUUGUGUGUUUUCAGUAGCAAUAUUAAAUUACCUCAAACUUGUUUUUACAGGGGAAAAACAUUCUUGUGUUGUGAUGACAGAAGAAGAUGGGGCUGAAUUCAAAACGUGUAUUUUUGGAGUAGUUGUGACUAGAAUUUCAAAUUUUUACUUAGCUGAAGGGUGGAUGUGUCUGAGCUUCCAGAAUUAAUGCUCUUUGCAAGCAGUAGUAUUUCUGGUUGUCAAACAGAGCAGGCAAAUUCUACUUUUAGGCUAGGUCUUAAUUUCACUUCAGACAUAAAUGAGCAUUUCUAAUUAAGUUGAAACCUACAGCCUAGACAUUCUGCAGUCUCUCUCUGCUCUUUACAAAGAGCACAGAGGACCUGGGAUGUAGCUUAAUGUGCUUGAAAUUAGCCUUGACUCUUGCAGCUCUGUCUCAAACACUGUUCGCAGUGUUUCCCAUUUAGCAAUGUAGACCUGCCUGUCCAUGUGGCAAACACAUCUCUUUCUGAUUGUCUGGUGCCCAAACAGACUGGAACGCAUGGGCCACAAAACAAAACUUACGGAGGAGCAGGAAAUAGCUUAACAAAAACUACCAGCAUAACAAGCAAGUGCGCAGGCACAUUGGUCAGGUUAACUUAUGUUCACCUACCCUUAUGGGGGUGCACAACCACUGAGGACCCCUGAUGAAGGGCAGUACCAUGUGUGGGCAGGAGGAAGAUGGUAGUACAGCACAUGCUAACCAUGUGAUGGCAGAGGUUUCCCCGCCUGGUAAGAGCGGUCUUGACCAAUCGUAAAUACACAUGGUUACUGUGUGUGCUGUCUGGUCCAGCAAGAUUAUGCAUGGUGAUGAACUGGCUAUGUGCCAUUACCCUGGAAACCAGAUGGGAAAAACCACAAGGGAAUACUAUGAGACAGUACUUUUGCAAGACAUUAGGGACCCUCCCCACCAAACCACUGAAGACAGCAGACCAAUGGGAUGCUACUGGAUCCAUGGUGGUGACCAUCUCUUGCAAUCUGGAAGAGCUACAUGUGACAGCAGCAGCCAUUUUUUGAGGACACGUUCCAUCCUGCCAGAUGUCUUUUUCACAUGACAAUAUAGUUGCUUCAUCACCACGACAACGCACUUUGCUCCAGUAAACAGGAAUAAGGCCCAGUCCAGAAAAUGAAUUCCCAAUGGCAACAGUGGAAGAAUUUAUUCAUGUACACAGAGUGAAAGAUGAUACCAGAGAUAACUUUCUCACAUCAGCAAGUCGUUUCCCAACAAUUAAAAAUGAAAUAAAUGUGAAAUCCUUUGCCUGUCUGAUGGAAGCCUCAUGAAAGAAGUCUGAGAAGCAUAGAGAUCUCGCUGUGGACACGUACUGUUAAACAAAGAAAACAGACUUCACCCUGCUGCCCACUUGCCCAGAGAACCCCAGGUGACUUAUGGUCCUCCUUGAGGUGGAAAAACAUACUACUGGUAUCAGUUGGUAAGGAAGGGACAAAGACUGGAAGGGACAGAGCCUUAUUUCCAUGUGCCUCUGUGACAAGACCUAUAGGAAAACAAAAAAUGAAGGAUUUAAAAAAAACUAAUCUCAUAUCUCAACAAAAUAUUUCGGUUUGCCUUUUUCCUGCAGAUCUACAGCUGCUUAUAGGAACACCAACAUUCUUUGAAAGACAGUAGAAUAUGUAACAGACCUCUGUUUAUCUCACAAGAAAAUACAAUAAAGAACAAGCUACCAUCAUAUGGGAAAAAGACACAAUAUGAUUAUUAAAGGUAAAUUUUUAACAAAUUUAAAAUAUUCUUGAUUUUAACCUAUAAUCUCAAAGGAAAUAAAGACAGAGCCUGUUC